rnacentral:rRNA from 1 species
GAUGAACGCUGGCGGCGUGCCUAAUACAUGCAAGUCGAGCGAACGGACGAGAAGCUUGCUUCUCUGAUGUUAGCGGCGGACGGGUGAGUAACACGUGGAUAACCUACCUAUAAGGCUGGGAUAACUUCGGGAAACCGGAGCUAAUACCGGAUGAUAUUUUGAACCGCAUGGUUCAAAAGUGAAAGACGGUCUUGCUGCCACUUAUAGAUGGAUCCGCGCUGCAUUAGCUAGUUGGUAAGGUAACGGCUUACCAAGGCAACGAUGCAUAGCCGACCUGAGAGGGUGAUCGGCCACACUGGAACUGAGACACGGUCCAGACUCCUACGGGAGGCAGCAGUAGGGAAUCUUCCGCAAUGGGCGAAAGCCUGACGGAGCAACGCCGCGUGAGUGAUGAAGGUCUUCGGAUCGUAAAACUCUGUUAUUAGGGAAGAACAUAUGUGUAAGUAACUGUGCACAUCUUGACGGUACCUAAUCAGAAAGCCACGGCUAACUACGUG